rnacentral:pre_miRNA from 1 species
AGUGGAAUUAAUGGGCCAAAUAGUAAUUUUAUAUUUAGCUUUUUGAAAAUCAGCCAAGUUGUUUUUCAAGUGGCUGCACCAUUUUGCAUUCCCACCAGCAAU